UUUCAAAGGCAGUGUCAUUCUUUUCAUAAUGACGUGACCACACAGAUUGCAGGUAUUUCCUAAGCCACACAUACCAGGAAGGCCAUUUACAAGGCAAAUUAUAAAGAAAUGUUCUUUUUCUCUUUAAUCCUAAUUCAUUCUUUAAAAAAAAAAGUCUCACAGAUUUGAUUUCUUCAUAAAACUAAACAUGUUUUCUUCAUUUAUUCUUAGGCACCAUAACUUGCAUGCUUUUAUUUUCCCCUUCUGUAUUAUUUGGAAAAAGUAAUUCAAUUUACCCAGUAGUUCAGAAUUCUAGUGGGUGUCAGAUCUUUAAUAACUUGUUCUGUCAUUUUAUUAAAUUAAGAGGAAAAAAUAACCGUUUGCCACUUCAGAUCCAUUUCAGAAUCUAGGAAAAAGUGCUCAGUUCCUUUGUGGCUCCUGAGUACCUUCAGUUAAUAUCAAAUUGUAUCCAGCUUGAAUCAUUUCCCAUGAUUCACAAAAUCAUUUUUGUUCUGUCCCCAGGGCUACAAAUUGGAAAUAAAGUGAUAAAACUUGGAAGCAAUUUAAUAAAACAUCCCUAGGAAGCAUGAAAGUCUUAGAUUAUGCAGUUGGCUCCUGAGAGUUUAUGAAAGUCUCCCACUCUUCAGGGAAACAGAGUUGCUAUUUUAAAUUUUCAUCAUAUCUUUUGGAAGUAAGAAAAAUCCUUGGUUGCAUACGUCUGGAGAUCUAGUAUUGUUUCCCGCUAAUUCUGCAGGUAGGUGUGGAUUUUCCACAAACAAAAGUCACAGAUGUUCACCCAUUUAGGAAUUGCCAUGGAUUCCAGUAUCAGCCCUCUCCAGACCCUGCAGGUCCAAAACACUUAAUAAAAUAAAACAGGCCAGAGAUCAAGUAGCAGAGUGAAAGAGGAAAGCAAAGUGAACUGGAGGAAUCAUUCCUAGUCUCCAUCCCAGUGAUUUAGGUUUUCAGGUGAGCCCAGGAUCUGUCUUUUUAAUUUGGGGGGAUGAUUCUGCUGCAGCAAGACUUGGGAGGCUAUGGCCUGAAUGACCCAUAAACUUGAAAAUCGGCUCCUGUAUCCCAGGUGGCUUUACUUUAAAGAAUAAAGUAAGCAGAUGGUUAGGCCCACAGAAGGGUGGAAAGAACCCUUCCAAGGACCCAGCAGCCCUGAGUUUCAUACCCUCACUGCACAGUGUUAACCAGUCAUGAAUUCCUAGGACCUCAGUUUUCUUAUCUCUGACAUAAGAAAAUUGAACAACCAAAUCUCUCAUUGUUUCCUAUUAUGAAUUUAUCUGAUUCUGUGAGACUUGAAUUUCUUAUUCUUCAGUGAGGGUAAUGAUAUUUUGAAAGGGCUUGGGAUCAAUCCCCAGAGAAAAGAGUUGUGAAAUUUUUAGCAUCUCCUCCUGAUUUCAUGAAUUUGACAAGACCUUUCAUCUAGUUCUCUCAUCUUUCUUCCCUCUGCUAUUCAAGGGAUCUCUGACCCAGAGGCAGUUCUCUCUCUGCUCAGCUCUCAGAAAUCUCUCCUCUGACUGUUCUUACUGACUGUCCCUGGAAACUUGGAAUCAUAGGUUUCAAACCUGGUGGGGUAUUAGGGUCACUUGGUAAACUUUUAUAAAAUCCUGGUGCCCCAAACAAUUGAAUCCAAUUCUUGUUGGGGGAGGAGGCUUAGGCAUCUGUAGAUUAUUGUUGUUAUUGUUAGUUAGUUAGUUAUUUGUUUGACUCUAGACAGGAACUGGCUAAGUUGCCCAGGCUGGUCUUGUACUUGUGAUCUGCCUGCCUCAGCCCCCGCCCCAGAGAGCUGGGAUUAGGGCAGGGAAUGGUGGUUGGCACAAGAAACUUGGAGCUACUGAGCAGGCAAAUCUCAGAGCUGGGUUUCCAGGUUCCUCUUCACCCAAGUAAAGGCAGCAAUUCUGAAGGAUUGAGUUUUCUGCAUUCACAGGUCUUUUUUUUGCUGUGGCCUACUGUCAACGGUUUAGAUACAUCAGAUCAAUUUUUUACAGGACCAAGCAUCAAAAUUACUGAAGUGAAAGGAAAAGCCAAGCCAAGUGGCACCACCAUAUGCUUACUAGUUGACCUAAGUGAAGUCUAUUAGACUUCUGAUUUGCAACGUGAGGCUGGCAUUUCUCUUCUACCAUAUAGUGUGGUUAGGUGGAUCUAAUGAGAUAACAUAUGUGAGUUUGUUCUGUAAAAUAUAAAAUUCUAUGCAAAUUGAAUGGACUUAAGUACUUUAUAUGUAAAAAGAAUUUCCAUAUUUAAAAAAUGGUAUCAAUUAUUUACAAAUUAAUCUAUAGAUUAAAAGUAACACCAAACCCAAUUAAGAUCCCAGAAGCUUUUUUAUAGAAAUUAACAAGAUGAUUCUAUAAUUUACAUGAAAACUCAAAGGACCUAGAAUAGCAGAAUAGUUCUAAUAAGGCUGUAAAAACUUGAAAUAUAUUUCCUGAUUGCAAAGCAAGAGAGCUCAAGAUAGUGUGGUAUCAGAGCAAAGACAAGAUAUGGUUCAGUAAAAUAGAAUAGUAGAUCUAAAAAUCAGUUCAUAUAGAUAUGACCAAUUGAUUUUUGACAAAGUUGCUAAGGCAAUUCAAUGGCAAAAGAAUUUUUUCAACAAAUGGAACAAAGACAUAAAUAAAAGAGCUGUAACUAUAGAACUACUAGAAGAAAACAGAACAAUCUUAGGGUAAGACCUUGGGUUAAGAAAUAACUUAUUAAGUAGCAUACAAAGUGCAAAAAUUAGUAAAUUAGAUUUUACCAAAAUUAAAAACUUCUGUUCUUCCCAAAUAGUGCUAAAAUAUCAAAAUGUAAGCCAUGGACUGUGAGAAAGUAUUUACAAAACACAUAUCUGACAAAGGAAUUUUAUUUGUAUUAUAUAAUGAAUGCUUACAAUUCAAUAUAAAAACUAAACUUUUAAAAAAUGAGCAAAAGACUAAAAAUAUACUUUACUAACAAAGAAAUAUGUACAGCAAAUGAAUACAUGAAAAGAUGUUCACCAUCAUUAGUCAGUCACAUACCAUUGCACAUCUACUGGAAUAGCUAAGAUUAAAGUGACUGACAAGUAUAUGGAAUCUGAAUUUCCUGUGCAUUGAUGGUCAGAAUGAAAAAUGCUAUGGUCAACUGGAAAAAGUUGGGCUCAUUUCUUAGAAAAUUCAAUAGGCACUUCCCAUAUGACCCAGGAAUUCCACUUCUACCACAUGUCCAUAAUGAUUUACUUACAAACUGUCUUAGUUCUGUUCAUAACAGCCCCAAACUAGACACAAAUUCUAAUCAAGUAGUGAAAAGAUAAAUAAUGGAAUAUGAUUUAGAAAAAGGAAUGAACUAGAGGUUUAUGCUUCAGCGUGGAUGAAUUGCCAAAUUGUUAUACUAAUAUAGUGAAAAGCAGACACCAAGGCUCUCUACUAUUUGAUUUCAUGUAUAUGAAAUACCACAAAAGGCAAACUGCACUGAUAGAAAGUAAAUCAGAAGUUACAAAGGGUUAGGGCGCAGGGUAGGAAGAGGGAAUUAAAUGCAGAGGGUCCUAAGGGAACCUUUGUUUGUUUAUUUUUUUUAAAGAGAGAGAAUUUUUAAUAUUUUUUUUCAUUUUCGGCGGACACAAUAUCUUUGUUUGUAUGUGGUGCUGAGGAUCGAACCCGGGUCGCACGCAUGCCAGGUGAGCACGCUACCACUUGAGCCACAUCCCCAGCCCAGGGAACUUUUUUUGAUGAUGGAAAUAUUCUAUAUCAUAACUAUGGUGAUGGUAUACAGUUAUAUACACAUACACUUGUCAAAACUGAGUUUCAUUUUAUGACAUUAUUUCAAAACAGCUGACAGAAGAUAUUGACAAUUUCUGCCUGCAAGACACUGUUAUGGGAAUAGCAAGAGGAAUCAGUCCUGGCUUCUGCCCACAGUGAUCACAAUAAAAACAUACCAAAACAAUGGCAAUCAAGCAUUGAAAGUGCUACAACAGAGAUCUGGGCUCAGGAUAGAGAGGUUAAUUCUAACCAGUGGUGGGAGAGCCAAGUAGAUGGUUCUUGAGCCAAAUCUUGAAAGAUAGAUAAUGAUUUGCCAGGUAAUUAAGGUGAGAGAAGCAAUUCUAGGCAACAAAAGAAAACCUUCUAUGCUGGAAAUAAUCCAUUAGAUUCCAGGAAACACAAGUGGUAGGUUGAAACUCAGUAUACCUGGAAGAAUAUAUCUGAAGAUAAAAGUGUGCAUGGUAGCACACGUAGGCACAUGUGUUGUGGAGGGUUGCAUAAUGCAUACCCAGGUGUACAGCCCACAGCCAGUGCAGGCAGCUAAACUAGAGGUCGCUUGAGUGAAUUUCCUAAGGUAUCAAAUAAAACACAGACAACAAUUUACCUUUAAAUUCAAGCCCUGGGACGGCUCCUCUGUCCCCGGCCUCAAGCUCCUCAAAUGGGAGAGCAGGGAAUAUCACAGAGGCUGGCGAGAGAGCGCUAGGUUGUUUUGGAGUGGUCUUUUAUUGUGGGGACUCUGGUUCUUAGAAAUUUCCAUCCAAAAAAGGUCAAGAGGGGCAGGGUUACAAGGACAGGUAAGGUAAUAACUCGAUCCCUGGGGAUGUAGGAAGGCACGCCCAUGCAUGAAGACACAUUUGGCUGCAAUUUUACUACUCUCAAGAUGGGGGCUACCAUCUACAGCCACUUAAAAGUAGCCCCAUCAUUGGGGAUGACUGAUAGUGCCUCAAACCCAUCAGGAGAGGAGAACGCUGGUCACAUGACUUGGUGGCUUCCCACAUAGGUGCUCACAAUUUAUCCCACAAAGAAAAUCUAUUGAAUAGUUUUAAGCUAUAACAAACAUACCCAGCUUUGUGCCUCGUACAUAUUACUCUGAAAGCAGAGAGAAAGACAGAUUAGAGGGUGGUGACAGCUAGUUUGAAAGCCAAGAGCCCGACUAAAAGAAGACUGCACUCAUUCAGGUAAGCCAUGAUUUUGUUCUUGAGUAGAGGGAUGUAGAAGGAUGUAGAGAGGAAGUUUAUGAGAGCUAUUAAGGUAGUAGAACUGAGAACUGGGCAGCAUCCUUGAGGAUGCUGCAAGGGAGAAUGAUGAAGAGUCAAAGGUGACUGCAUGGAUUCUAGUUUGGGUGACUGGAUGGCUGGUGGUCUUCUUUUUUUUAAGAAUUAAUUAUAAUAGUGUUGUCAAUGUUAAUAUUCUUUUUAAUGCUUAUUUUUUAGGUGUAGAUGGACACAACACAAUGCCUUUAUUUUUAUGUGGUGCUGAGGAUUGAACCCGGGUCCUGCCCAUGCUAGGCGAGCGCUCUAUCGCUGAGCCACAAUCCCAACCUUGGUGGUCUUCUUAAUCAAGCUUAGGAAUGCAAAGGAAGAAUGAGUUUGGGAGAGAAUGAUAGCUUCAGUCAGAGAAAUGUUGAGUUUUAUGUGAUGGAAUAUUCUAGUAAAAUGUUUAAAAGGAAAUUGAAUACCCACCAGUAAGAUUCAGAAGAGAGUAGAUGUAUGGUUCACAGUAAUCCACUUCCUGGUAGCAUCAAAGCCAAGUGAUGAAUGAGAUUUCCCAGGGCGUUCACACAAGGUGGCAGGGAAGGCACAUAUGUAUGAAAGGGAUGGGCAGCAGUACGAGGUCUUGAAAGAAGCUGAGAAAAGGUGUUCAACAAUGUGGAAUUGAAGCAGGAGAGUGUAGUGUAGUGUAGAAUCAGAGAAGAUAAGGAACAAGAAAGAUUUUAGAGAAAGAUAUAAUCAACACUGUCAAAUGCCACAUCAAAGUAAAACAUGAUGAAAUAAGAAAGAAUCCACAAAUUGCAAAAUGUGAGAUGGUUGUUGUUAUGUGCCAAAGUAGUUGCCUAUGAUAGCAGAGCUUGAUUACAGAGGGCCAAGGAAUGAGUGAGAUGGAGGGAAAUGGAGAAAGUGGGCAGGUAGUUUGGCAGUAAAGUGGCAGAGAAAGAGAGGUAGUGAAUAGGGAGGAAGAAUAUAAAAUCAAAGUAUUUGUUUUUGAAAACUGAUGAGACUACAUAUUUUAUAGGCUAUUGAGAAAAGCCAAUAAAAUAAAAAUUAUUGAAACUGUACACAAGUGGCCCAAUGUUUGAAAGCACUAGUCAUGGAGAUGACAGAAAAGGUAGAAAUAAGAAGAGGACACCUUUUCCUUUGGGAAUGAAGGAAGGAAAUAGGGGAAAGUACAGAUCCAGGUAAUUCUGAAGGUAUGAGAACAGAAAACUGAGAGAGUUCAUGACCGAAGACUAAAUGUCUUAAUGGGUUUGAGAAAAGAAGGGAGAGUAGGAAGAGCCAUUGCAAGGUAUUGGAAAGGGAGCUAAUUAAUCUGUGAUUGACAAAGGUAUUGAGGGUUGGACUUCACAUAUUUGCAGUGUCAUCUGUCUAGAAUGCAUGUGUGAUUUCUCUGCAUUAGGAUUGAGUUGCUUAAGUGUGGCAGCCAGGAGAACAGGUCACUGGAUUCAUCUGAGAUUUGGAUGUAAUAGGAGAAUGUGGUAGAAAUGCAAGUUGGUGAGGACCCUUUCAAAUUUAUUAACAGAGCAGAGAAAGUGAGGAACCACAAGCACAAGCCAGAUGGAGAAAAAACAGAACCAAGGUGGUAGGAUUAAUGGAAGAAAAACAGAGCUCAGAGGUUGAGGGGGCCCCUCCAUGAGUUUGAUGAGCAAAUUCAUUGAAUAGCAGGAUGAUAGAAGGUUAUGGUCAAGAGUAGGGUACUCAAGGAUGAUAGGACUUCAAAGGGAAGACAGAUCUGGGUGACACCAAGAUCCAAACUCUGGUGAUGUGAAUGGGAGACCUAAAUGAAGAGGAGGGAAGGUCAAGGUGCCUAUACCAAAAUGUUACUUGCAUCUUUUUAUGAGUGUGAAAGCCCCCAGGAUGAUGUGGGUAGUAAGCAAAUCUUCAGGGAAUGGGGAAGAGAAAGGGUGGACAAGACCAGAUGUCACCCAUAUUGGUAUGUAUGGUGAGCAUGGCCUGGACUUCAAAGAAGUUUGUACAUAACAGGAGAAGAGUAACGGGCUGAAAGGAGCAGCAAGGAGAGAGGAUGCUGCUGGCAGCUGAGGGUUCUGUGAUAUUUGGAAGGGUAUCACAGAACCCUAAGGAAGUGGGGUGCUCAUUGUUUCUGCAUAAUUAAGUGUGGGGAAUCUUAGAUCCACAUGAAUCUUGGUGAGAAGUUUUGCUAAUACCUUGGAGAAGGAAAAACAGGAGACUAUUCAGGGACAGAGCCUGGAAAAGAUUCCUGCCCAGGAGGUUUCAGAGUCAUUUCCUAGGACGUUUACCACCUGAUAGAAUUAUCAGUGGCUGAUGGUUACUUGAAGGAGAAAGAUUUUAUUUUCAGACUUUCUUCCAAGGUCAAAGAUUGUGCCCAAAGCUUUCUUGAUAGGUAUUUGUUUAACAGAAUUGAACUAAAGAGUUGAGCACAUCUGUUACAUGGGUAACAGAACUUCAGAGCAGGAGGGAGCUAUGGUGUAGGGGGCCACUACUUGCAUGCAGUUUCGUGAUCUCCAUUCUCCAGCCCCAGCUCACUGCCCUGGGGUCGGGGCAGGUGGCCUUCAACAAUCCCUGUCUAUUGUACUUCCCCAGUCUUGUCUGGCUCUUCCAUUCCUGCCUGCACAUGUGUUCAUCUCUUCUUGGAAGGAAUCAUCCCCACUGCUGUCUGGAUAACUCCUACUUAUUUUUCAAGUCUCAGGCAUAGCCAAACUUGUCUCCUUGUUAAGCUCUUCCUGGCUCUUCUGGGCAUGCUGAAGGGACCCUUCUGCUACAUUCCUAUGCUCUCUCAUACUUUCCUUAAAGUAAUGAUCUUACCAUAGUAGAAUUGCCUACCUUUCUCUUCACUGGACUACAAACACUUUGAAGUUAAGGGCAGGACCAGGACUUUUCACAUUACAUAGGUAGCUCCUAGAACAGUAGUGGGAACAACUACUAGUUAAAUGAAUGAAUGAGCAAAUAAGAGAAUGAGUAGUGGAGAGGCACUUUGAACUCAAACAGCCUGUGACUCAUUUUUAUUAUAUGAUGUAGUGUUUUAUGAAUUAGUGGAAAUUUUCAAGUCAUUACCUGAAAAAACACCAUAACUUUAAAAAUGUUGAUAAGCUGGCCAUAAUUGGCAGGAUACAUGGUAUUCAUCAUGUUACACUAUGAUCCCCAGAGUCUGGUGAUGGGGAGAGAGUAACUAGAAGGAGAAAUUGCAGGCUCUUCCUUGACAUAAUGGGCUCAUUUCUCACCUUCCUUCCCUGGAUGCCCUAGUAUUCCUCCAUCUCUGUUAAACUUUUAUUCUGACACAUUCUGUGAAUGGUCUCUCAGAUUCUAACCUUCCCAUUAUUUCCAUCUCUACUACUCAAAUUUGAAUUUGAAUUGUGUCAAAAUUUUCCUGUUGGCUUUCCAGACUCAUGUCUCCAGCUACCCUACAUAGCAUAAUGACAGCCUUCCUCUCCUCAAGAACUUGCCAUGGAUCCCUAGUGCCUUUUGCUUCAAAUCUAAACAAUUUAUCUCUGUGUUCAAGGCUUUCUAGCAAUGGGUUUCCCAUUAGCUACUGAGUCUUCCCUCACUGCUCACUGUCUUUUGCUGGAUUGUUCUAUUUCCUGUCUGACUUCUGUCCUUGCUAAUCCUCCUAAUUAGAAUAUUUUUUCCAUUCCUCUUGAGCAGUUGACAUCUGACCCUUCUAAGUUUAGCUUGAGACUAGUCCUCCCCAUUCAACCUUUGACUGUUCCCACUGUGUGUCAUGAUAUUUGUUUUUCCUCUUUGCUUCCUCUCCAUACUUUUGAAUACAGUUUGGACUUAAUUUCUAGCACUUCAUUAUAGCUUUCCACAGCAUUUUUCCAGAACUAUUUUAUUUCUUCAGUUCAGCUUGAAGCGCCUGCAGUACCAGGAAUAAAUAGCCUGACUCUAGGGUGUAAUUCCCCAAACACCUGGGUUCUGCUGGACUUUGUUCCAGGAGAGACUAUAUGUAUAUCAUACUAGUUUAAAGACUGACCAUGGCCCCCAAAGAUACCAGGCCUUAAUCCUAUAAUGUUACCAUAUAAAUGUUACCAUAGGUUAAAAAAAAAGGAUCCUUAUAGAUAUGAUAAAGUUGAGGCUCUUGAGUUGGAGAGACUAGCCUGGAUUCUCUGUAUGGGCCCAAAAUGCCAUUACAUGUAUCCUCAUAGGAGAGAGAGGGAGAUUUAACACAAAGAGGAGAAGACCAUAGGACCACAGAGGCAGAGGCUGGAGGGAUGGAGCCACAAGCCAAGGCAUGCCAGCUGCAUUCCACCUAACACAUGAUUCUUAGUUGGAGCCUCAGAGAGAACUCAGCUCUGCCAGCUUCUUGAUUUCAGGCCAGAAAAACUGAUUUCACACUUCUGGCCUGCAGAAUCCUCAGAAAAAAAGAUCUGUGUUCGUUAAAGUCACCAAGUGCUUUGCUCCAGAAGCUGAGGAAACUAAAACAAUUGUUGUAUCUGUAUUUAUUGAUUAAAUUAAAAUUGUGGGUUGAUUUUGGACUCCCUUAAAGAGGUUUUGGAAGAGAUCCUCUUUCAUCUGGAUUUCUCCAAGGCAUUUACAGUAGUGCCUCCAUUUACCCCAGGGCUGCUGUGAGGACCCAAGGAGCUUUCUCGACGCACAUAAUCAUGGGAACAGAGGACUAUAUUUGCCGCUUGGCUUAAUCCUCAUAACAACUUUGGGGGUGAGUAUUAUUAGUUACCCUUCCUCACACACAAACAAGGAAAUCAAGGCUCAGAGAGAAAGAAGUGCUUGUCAGGAGUUAUACAGAACUCCUUUAUGAAUGGGGCUUUGAAAGCUUGUUUGUAAAGUUCUCUUUUUGUGGACUGGGGAUGUAGCUCAGUGGCAGAGCUCUUGCCUAGCACAUAUGAGGCACUGGGCUUGAUCCUUAGCACCACAUAAAAAUAAACAAAUAAAAUAAAGUUAUGCUGUCUAUCUACAACUACAUUUUUUUUUUAAAAAAAGAUCUCUAUUUUGUCAUGUGUCUCUAGAUUCAUCUUUUUUUUUUUUUAAAUCUCAGGGUCUCAGUCAUUUUUAUUGUCUCAGUCAGUGAUCAGAUGAGUAGGGUUUGCAGCCAGAUAAACCCUAGGCUCAAAAUCCAGUUCUGCCACUUAAUAGCCACUUUCCUUAGAAAGUUCUGAACUUCUUUAAAAAGAAAAACUUGAUUUUGAACUUGAUAAAAACUUCUUUAUCAAGUUCAAUAUCUAAAAUAUUGGAUCAGUGAUGGUAAUGGUGUAAAUAAUUGUGUGGUUCUAUAAAUGAUAAGAUCAUAUAUAGAGAGUUCUUUGCACAGUGCCUGGCACAUUGUAACAUAUUAUCAUAUCUUUUUUGGGGGGGUUAUCAGGAAUUGAACUCAGGGGUGCUUGAUCACUGAGCCACAU